CAGUCGCCACGGUAAUACGGGGGGGGCAAGUGUUAUUCGGAAUGACUGGGCGUAAAGGGCACGUAGGCGGUGAAAAGGGUGGAAAGUGAAAGUCGCCAAAACACUGGCGGGGUGCUUUCUUGACCAUUUCACUUGAGUGAGAUAGGGGAGAGUGGAAUUUCGUGUGGAGGGAUCAAAUCCUAAGAUAUACGAAGGAACGCCAACCGCGAAGGCAGCUCUCUGGGUCCCCACUGACGCUGGGGUGCGAAAGCAUGGGGAGCAAACAGGAUCAGAUACCCCCGUAGUCCCUGUCUCUUAUACC
rnacentral:rRNA from 1 species